AUGCGGCGCAGAGGGGAGGGUAGUAAUGAGGAAGGAGUGUGUCAUAGGUUUUCAAAGACAGCAAGGUUAGCUUUUGACCUGGUGCCAUCAGGGAGAUCACAGGAAAUUUCCUGUUGGAAACGGUGAUGAAGUAGGAGUAAAGCAUACAGCAGCUAGGUGUAGAGGCGCACACCCACUACUCAGGAGGCAGAAGCAGAUGGAGUUUUGUGAGUUCAAGGCCAACCUGGUCUCCAGAGUUUCAGACCAGCUAAGGCUAUAUCAUAAGACCUUAUCUCAAAUAAAUAAAGUCUACAGCAACCGGGAAUAAAGAUGAGGCUAACGUAAAGGGUCUGCACAUGAAGACCAGUUGAAGCAUUGGCUGUAAAUGAGUAUCAGAGGGUGGGGAAAGAAGCAGAAAUUAGCAUUUACUGUUAGAGACCAGGAGAGAAAAGGGGGACACCAGAACCAAACACAUCUAGUGUCUGAUGGGGCAAGAGGAGACAGCUUGGAAAGGAGGAACAGAAAACUAUACAAAAGUUUCACACAGAGGACCUGGGUUCAGUUCCCGGGACCCCCACAGUGAUUCAGCCAUCAGGAGCACCAGUUCCAGGGGUUCCAAUACUCUCUUCUGACCUCUGCAUGUACCAGGAAUGCACAUGGUUUAUACAUGACCUGCAGGCAAAACACUCGCCCCCAUCAAAGUUUUAAAAAUCUGAAAGCAACAACGUGAAGCCCUUAAUACCCUUGGUCCAUAUGGCCGCGACCUCUCAGCCCACCUCCACCCUCGUUUCCAACUGCUCUUGCCCACUGAGUGGAACUCACACCGGCCUCCUCACUGAUUGCUGAACCGCUCACUAGACUUUUUCCGGUUUCGGAGCCUUUGGAUUUGUUCUUCCCUCCAUCUGUAAAGUUACCUGUCCAGGGAUGUUUUGCUUGGCUUCCUAACUCAGACCUCAGUUUUAAACAACGUCUUCGGAAAAGAUCUUUCUAAGUCAACUCCCACAAAACACACUGAACAUCGCCUCUACCUGCAUCCUUUGCUCUGCAGUUUCAUUUUUCCAUAGCACUUGCCAUGACACGGCACUGAAUUGUGUAUCUCAUCAACUGUUAUGAAGUCCAUAGAGCUCAGAGAGUUUUGGCUGAUUCACUGAUAAUAUUCCUGAUGAGCAGAAUAGAGCCUGGUACAGAAGAAAUUCCUCGAUAAAAGCAUAGUGAACUAACGUGUGAGAUGUAAUAAAGGAAAUUAAAAGGGAAAAAAAAUCCUAUAUACCGCAAAAGGGCUACUGAGUUAGUCAUUUAAAAGUUCUAGAACAUUCCUACCAGUUCAGCUGGGGAGAAAAAGAAAACCACAAACCCUGCUUAGGGCUCCCACUUGUGAUAAAUCUCGGGGGAAAGGGAACUUAGGGGGCGUCUGUCACCCAAGCCAGGCCGUGGGGUACUUUCCCCCUGUGUUCUCUGUGACUUGGGGAGCAAUCUCCACGUGCGCACUGGCUGAAAGGUUCUUUUCCCACCUCAGCUGCACAUCAGAGAGCUUGGGGAGAAGAAACCCCCGAGGGAUGCUGACAGACUUGAGUUUUCAAACGUUUCCCUGGGCGGGUGUCGUCAGCCAGUCACAGCAGGCAGAAACAGUACGCUGUCUUUGGGUGUGUGGCAUCUCUUGGUGACACCUUCAAAGAACAUUUCAUGAAAAGGGAGAGACUUGGCUAACCAGCAAGAAAUUUCAGCCGAUAACCCCAAACGACACAGGCGGAAGUGAAAUUCAAAUGGAAACCUAAGUAGAAGGAGCGUCAGCUGACGGCAGGAGUGCUGACCCUCCAUCGCGUGAGAGACUCCAGACACUGAACUUGGUGAAAGGAACUUAGCACGGCAAAGAAAAUGGCUGCAGGAAAAAGGGUGAAAACAGCCGAGAAGUGAGGACAGCAAGAGCUCCACGUGAAACUCUCAGAAAUACCUCAGGUUGCAGUCUCAUUUUCACAGUUCUAUGCUGCCUGGAUGCAAAGGAGAAUGAAAAUGAAGUGUCCCAAAUGCAGCCCAGAAUUUCCUUACUGUCACCAUCGUGUGGAAAAAGAUCAACGAGUCCCCAGCUGGAGGCAAUCAACUAUGGAGCUAGCUUACCACUAAGGUUUCCCUCUGGUUGAUGGACAGGUAGAUUUUCUGCACUGAUGACUUAUUUGGAUGCUCUGAUGUCCUGAUCUCUUCUAGAAACCUCUUCUCUCAGAUGGAGGCAGAUUAGACCCCACAGUCUGCCACACUCAGAGUCCAGCUCGCAAGGAGAUGCUGAACGAGUGACCUGCUGAAAGACUGCCUGCCCCACCCGAUCCCAAGUGGAAGGAAAAAGGAACAGAAGAAGACACAAGAAGGCCAGAGGCCAGAUUCUUGGCGAUGAGUGGGAGGCGAGUUGACAGAUGAGUGUGAGCCAUUGCCUCUGCUGAGCUCACGAGGCUUCGUGUUGCACAGGUGAUCCUGUGAAUCCCGAGUGUUCUGACAGACACCCUGGUUUUGAGAGCACAGAGGUACAUUCAGCGGGCUCUGGCCAAGAAUUAGCUGAAUGGGGCGGGGAAGGGGGUACAGUCAGAUGACUGGAACCAUGAAUUUCAGGGAUAGUUACCUCAAAAGUCUAGACUGGGAGAAAAAAACAAAACAAAACACUGCAGUGGUCCCCACUUCAGAGUAGAAACUCUCAUCACUGAAUCGCUGACCAAUGAGGAUCCAGGUAAUACCAUGGGCCUUCUCAGCUCGGACAGACCCCGGUACACAUAGAUGGUAGCUUGGACAAGAACAAUGAUUGACUUGUCUGAAGAAGAUGCUCACCUCCUCAGUUGAGCCUAGGGACCAGCUACACCAGCAUGGUGAGAGAAGUGGCCACUUAACCCCAUAGACGCCUUCUUUGUGGAUACUCACAACCUAACAAGAAAGGACAUUUUAAGCACAUCCUGAAAGGGCCUUCUCUCUUGUCGUUAGUCUGGAUGAGGAAGAGGUUUUGAGAUCAAUAGGCAAGGAGCUACUUGGCAGGCUAAGGUCUCAUUCUGCUCCAUCGUCAUUGUCAUUCCCUCAUGCUUAGUGAAUCAUAUCCGGAAGCAAGUGGGCAAGACACACUUGGACGAAAUCCUAAUACAGACACCUACCUAGGUCUAACAUCCUAUCCGUCGCUUGCUUGUACAGUCCUCUGUGGGCUGCACCACCACCUGCAGGCCAGCCCUGAAAAGUACAUGUCCAAGAAAAUGGCGGUGUUCCUGGACCAAGCUGUCCGGCCAAAAUAGCUGCUCUGUGCUUCUUUACUCAGAGUCUUGGAGUCAGGGCCCACAGGUCUCAUUACCAGAUGGCUCAACUCCUAGCGUUUAGCAGACAAUUCUUCCCUCAUUUCUUCUCUUUGGCUUGCUCAGUAGGAAAAGGUUUUCUUGGUUCUCAGGUGCAAAGGAAGCCUUCUACAAAGUAAUUAGAACUACUUGUGUAAUUCUUUCAGUCUUUCCUAAUCUACCCGAAACAGCCCAAUCCACUUGACAGUCUCCAGCCAUUGAAAUGGGGACGUUGUGCCCCAGGGGGACAGGCCUUCUUUAGGAAACUGGCUUUUGGAAAAGUUUAAUUGCCACCCUCUUGAGAACAAGAUCUCUUGUCCACCAGGCUGGGGUGGUUAAUUAGAUACAGAAGUGCAGAACCGAUCACCUUCUCCAAGCGCUUUGGAUCUGCCAUUUCAUCUGCAACCAGAUGCUGCAGAGCCAUGAGCAGAGACCGCAGCACCGCUUUUGGCCAUCAUCUGCUAGGAAUAUCCAGGAUGCUCGGUCUUGGUCUUCACAAAGAGGUCAACCGGCCAGCGGCAGGGGCUCUGAUAACUGGGCUUGGACGCCAUAUAGGUGUAAGUAUAUGAGCUGAGCUGUAAGAUAAGUAAGACCAGUCGCUACAACAGAGAAAACUGGGACAAACAAGUUUGGGAGAGACGAUCAAGCUCUAUUUGGAAAAUGUUUGAUUUGAAAUGCUUAUUAGUUAUCUGAUGGAAAUGUCAAGUAGAGAGAUUUGCUAAGGAAAAUGUCAGGACUGAAAAACAUAGAUCGGAGAGCUAUUGACAGAGAUACAAGUUAAAGCCCUGGGUUAAGACCUCCCACAAAGUGAGCAUGUGUAUCUAAAGAAUAGAGUUUAAAUGACUCAAAAAUUGGGAAAAAGAGGGGUUGGGGAUUUAGCUCAGUGGUAGAGCGCUUGCCUAGCAAGUGCAAGGCCCUGGGUUUGGUCCUCAGCUCCGGAAAAAAAAAAUGGGAAAAAGAGAAAAGAGGCUGGCUGCAGGCUUCAAAGAAACCGACAGUGCACAGCCAAACUGAGCCAGGGUGCAGUCUCGGGCCACCAAGAGGUCCAAUGAGAGGCUGGCUCAGCUGGUGUAGAGAGCUGAGUAGCGGCAGCGGGUAGAUAGAGAAGAGCAGGUAUUCUAGGGAGAACAUAUUUAAGAUGAAAUAAAACACAGAUACAAAAAUGUAGAUAGACGGCGGAUGGAUGAAUAGACAGAUGAAUAUAUAUAUAUAGACAGUGGGUGGGGAAAAGAUAUAUAGAUGAUGGGUAAUUAAUAGGUAGGUAGCUGCCGAAAUGGACGGCUAGAAAGGGAAGUAUUGAGAUGCUGGAGAGAACGAGUGCUGGAAAGACUUUCCGUAAGUGAGGGAGGAUCCUGGCCGCCAGUGGCAAGGUCUAAGAGGACUUGGAAUCCAGAACGGGUUUGCCAUCACAGGAUGGAAAGGAGAACGCUAGUGAACACGAUGAUGGGAAACACCACAGUUGUCUUCUGGUUGCUACUGCUUUGGUAAUAAAAGGAAUGAUGAGGUUUGUUUCUGCCAGUUUCUUCUAGCCCUGCACUGAGGCAUUUCCCUAGACUUAACGUCCUUCCCUUCAUCCUGCAGCUGAGCUAGAAGAGCCCAGUUUUCAAAGCUCUGGAUCCUCAUCAGUACCACAGCUCAUUCCAGUCCUUCUCUUAAGAAGGAAACCAACUGGAUGUGGAGAUGUGACACGCCCCCACCCCGGCUGAGAACCCACUCAAACUGCACAAACUACAGGAUACAGCCAGUGGAAGAAUGGCCAGGUUAGAGUUUCCAUCCACAGGCUAGGGCUGCUGGCACCCAUGUUUAAAAAGCCACAAAAGCAUCUCAAUGUUUAGUUUCUUCCUCUGUCAUGAUGUCUAACUUGCUUCUCAGUUGGGCUUCCAGUUUGCCCUCACAUUUGAUCUCUUCCCUCCCUCUCUCCCUCCCUCCCUCCCUCCCUCUGUUUCCUUCUGCAUCUCUCUUUUCCUUCCCUUUCCUAUUUUCCCUCUCCCCUCCUCCUCUCUCUCUUUCCCCUCACAUAUAUGACUGUGCUUUGGAUUUAACAGGCAAUUAAUUCAGCUCCUCCCCCAAGGAUGCUUUCCCUGGACUCUCCCCCUCUUUAGCUCCGGCGUCAGACUUGUUCCGGGCUCCCACUACCACAUCCCUUUCUAGGACUCAGGUCUUCACACAAACGUGAACACAAAUACGUAAAAAAGAUGAAUAAUGUCCAUAAGACAUUACUGAUGAGUUAAGACCACCAUGAUGGCUUUUCAAGCAGGCCUCUGGCAAGGAACCCUCUCCAUCUCUUUCAAGUCCAGCAGGGAAAGUAUCUCCUCGGGAACAGCACAUCUUUUGCGGAAAUGAGAGAAAGCAUAGCGGGAUUUGGGUUUCGAAAAGGUGAGAAUAAAGAAGGCUACUUCCACCACGGAAGCCAUCCUCCCUCCCCGCAAACAAACCCUCGGUCACAACACGUUGUAACUACGUUUAUUGUUGCUUAAACAACAAAUGAGAAUGUUUCUUUUCCUCGUAUAAAUUUUAUAGGGAAAAAAAACCAAAGACAUACAUUAAUAUAAAAUGAAAACAUAUAAUUGUACAUCAAUAGUUUAGUAAGUAGGCUUUCUAUGGAUGAACACUAUCCUAUUUGAAUAAAAACAUCUAAGUAGCCAGGCGGUGGUGGUGCACGCCUUUAAUCCCAG